rnacentral:rRNA from 1 species
AACGAACGCUGGCGGCAGGCUUAACACAUGCAAGUCGAACGCGUGUAGCAAUACACGAGUGGCGCACGGGUGAGUAACGCGUGGAUAUCUGCCUUUUGGUUCGGAAUAACCCCGGGAAACUGGGGCUAAUACCGGAUGGUUCCUUCGGGAUAAAGAUUUAUCGCCAAAAGAUGAGUCCGCGUACGAUUAGCUAGUUGGUGAGGUAACGGCUCACCAAGGCUCCGAUCGGUAUCCGGCCUGAGAGGGCGGACGGACACACUGGAACUGAGACACGGUCCAGACUCCUACGGGAGGCAGCAGUGGGGAAUUGUUCACAAUGGGCGCAAGCCUGAUGACGCAACGCCGCGUGGAGGAUGAAGACUUUCGGGUCGUAAACUCCUUUCGACCGAGAUGAAUUUCCGCCGACCUAACACGUCGGCGGGGUGACAGUAUCGAGGGAAGAAGCCCCGGCUAACUCCGUGCCAGCAGCCGCGGUAAUACGGGGGGGGCAAGCGUUGUUCGGAAUUACUGGGCGUAAAGGGUUCGUAGGUGGCUUGCUAAGUCAGACGUGAAAUCCCUCAGCUUAACUGGAGAACUGCGUCUGAUACUGGCGAGCUUGAGUGCAGGAGAGGAACGCGGAAUUCCAGGUGUAGCGGUGAAAUGCGUAGAUAUCUGGAGGAACACCGGUGGCGAAGGCGGCGUUCUGAACUGCAACUGACACUGAUGAACGAAAGCCAGGGGAGCAAACGGGAUUAGAUACCCCGGUAGUCCUGGCCCUAAACGAUGAAUGCUUGGUGUGGCGGGUAUCGAUCCCUGCCGUGCCGAAGUUAACGCGUUAAGCAUUCCGCCUGGGGAGUACGGUCGCAAGGCUGAAACUCAAAGGAAUUGACGGGGGCCCGCACAAGCGGUGGAGCAUGUGGUUCAAUUCGACGCACGCGAAGAACCUUACCUGG